GUGCUCACUUUGGCAGCACAUAUACUAUAAUUGAAACAAUACAGAGAAGAUUAGCAUGGCCCUUUGCCCAAGGAUGACAUGCAAAUUCGUAAAGCAAAAACCACAAUG
rnacentral:snRNA from 1 species